rnacentral:rRNA from 1 species
UACAGAGGUCCCAAGCGUUGUUCGGAAUCAUUGGGCGUAAAGCGCGUGUAGGCGGCUCGGUAAGUCUGCUGUGAAAGUCCAGGGCUCAACCCUGGGGAUGCCGGUGGAUACUGUCGAGCUCGAGUCCGGAAGAGGCGAGUGGAAUUCCUGAGUGUAGCGGUGAAAUGCGCAGAUAAUCAGGAGGAACACCAAUGGCGAAGGCAGACUCGCUGGGAC